rnacentral:rRNA from 1 species
UGGGGAAUUUUGGACAAUGGGGGAAACCCUGAUCCAGCCAUCCCGCGUGUGCGAUGAAGGCCUUCGGGUUGUAAAGCACUUUUGGCAGGAAAGAAACGUCGCGGGUUAAUACCCCGCGAAACUGACGGUACCUGCAGAAUAAGCACCGGCUAACUACGUGCCAGCAGCCGCGGUAAUACGUAGGGUGCAAGCGUUAAUCGGAAUUACUGGGCGUAAAGCGUGCGCAGGCGGUUCGGAAAGAAAGAUGUGAAAUCCCAGAGCUUAACUUUGGAACUGCAUUUUUAACUACCGGGCUAGAGUGUGUCAGAGGGAGGUGGAAUUCCGCGUGUAGCAGUGAAAUGCGUAGAUAUGCGGAGGAACACCGAUGGCGAAGGCAGCCUCCUGGGAUAACACUGACGCUCAUGCACGAAAGCGUGGGGAGCAAACAGGAUUAGAUACCCUGGUAGUCCACGCCCUAAACGAUGUCAACUAGCUGUUGGGGCCUUCGGGCCUUGGUAGCGCAGUUAACGCGUGAAGUUGACCGCCUGGGGGAGUACGGUCGCAAGAUUAAAACUUAAAGGAAUUGACGGGGUCAUAGCUGUUUCCU